UGCUAUACCUGGGUCCACUAUAUCCCAAGGUGGGGAUUAUUCCACCUGAAAUUCUCCAAACUAGAGCAGGUCGUUGCUCUAGUAUAUGUAAGUAGGAUCAUCCACUUUUUUUUUUUCUCACAAUAUUUUAUAUUUACGUACUAUACCAUGUGGUGUAUUUUACUCUUGUUUUUCAUGUAACGAAUAUUUACAACUAUAAAUUCACCAACGGUCUUGAACCUCAAGAAAUCCAUAGACGGGG